ensembl:lncRNA
UGUGAAUAAGAUUGUGGCGUGGCAUGGCAUUAACACCUAAAAGCUCCAGGCCAGCAACCUACCAAAAUCUCUGCUUUUAUAGCAGUGCUCACACUCAGUUAAUAGAUGCGCUGUUAUUUGCAGUUGUGGUGAAUUAUCAAGUCACCAAAGGGCAAAGUUUCAAAUCAUGAAGUCAGUCUAUAUGUGAGCAAUCUUAGCAAACGCUCAGGCUUCAGGCUGCUGUAGAAACUCAAUAUUAGAGAGCUUUUUCUGCUCUUGGCCCUGUAUGAUGUUGAUAAGAGUCAUCAUCUCAGACACACAGCUUUGGCUUCGAGGACAGAAGACCCACCCGCUGUCAAACCUGCUGUUUGCAAAGGGCGGCCAAUCACAAGAAAGUUGAUUUAAAGAGAUGGCAGAAGGGAGCUAAUGCAACUUGUUUUAGACAGAUGGUCAGAGGGCUGCAGCAAGGCUAAGAUGAAAAGGGAUUAUUUUUAAUUUUGUGAAUCAUGAAAUGCUAUUUUAGUAGAAUCUAAUGAUUUAUUUUUAUUUUUUUUAAGUUGGUGCAUGCAUUCAUAGGAGGGUGAAGGAAUUCUGCUACACGCGGUGAAACAACACCAGGCUUCACAGAACACACUGCAGACUUAUAGCAUUUCUACAAACAUUUCUACCUUUUUCUUGUAUGCAUUACUUCUACAACUUAUUUAUUAGUCCCCUUUAACUUUAUGUUUGCUUUAAACUUAGCUGUUAUUUAUUUUCCUAAUAUUGACAGUCUGUGGAAGGCAGUCAAGUGUGAAAUUUUAAUUGUGUGCUGAGGGCCAUCUCCAGGUCCCCGGGGUAAGAGGUGUAGAUGUAGAUCUGGUUCAGUGAGGUUUUCGGUGCCUGGAGUGCGUAUUGAUCAGGAUAGAACUGUAAAUAGUGGGGCGUGUGGACACAUUCGGCAACCCUUUACUUUGCUGCCUUCAGCACACACUGCCUGACUUCUCAAAAGAUAAAGUCUUCCUCUUUCCCUCCUCCCUUUGAGAAUGCUUAGAUGGAUUUUGAUUAUUGAAAGGCAUGGUUCACCACGAGAAAAAACUAGGGAUCAUUUAAAAUCAAGGAUGGAAGAAGGGGGAAAUGGUAUAUUUUUUUGUUUUUAAAGUGAGUGGGAGGAAGGCUGCACACCAUGGCAGGCUCUCUCACU